rnacentral:rRNA from 1 species
UACGUAGGGGGCAAGCGUUGUCCGGAAUCAUUGGGCGUAAAGCGCGCGUAGGCGGCCCGGUAAGUCCGUUGUGAAAGUCAAAGGCUCAACCUUUGAACGCCGAUGGAUACUGCCGGGCUAGAGUCCGGAAGAGGCGAGUGGAAUUCCUGGUGUAGCGGUGAAAUGCGCAGAUAUCAGGAGGAACACCGAUUGCGAAGGCAGCUCGCUGGAACGUUACUGACGCUGAGACGCGAAAGCGUGGGGAGCAAACAGG